rnacentral:rRNA from 1 species
AAACUGGGGAUAAUUCCGGAUAMCGCAUAUGUGCUGGAAUGCUUUAUGCGUAAAAUGGAUUCGUCUGCCCAAGGAUGGGUCUGCGGCCUAUCAGGUAGUAGUGGGUGUAAUGUACCUACUAGCCGACAACGGGUACGGGUUGUGAGAGCAAGAGCCCGGAGAUGGAUUCUGAGACAUGAAUCCAGGCCCUACGGGGCGCAGCAGGCGCGAAAACUUUACAAUGCGGGAAACCGUGAUAAGGGGACACCGAGUGUCAGCAUCAUAUGCUGGCUGUCCAGGUGUGUAAAAUACACCUGUUAGCAAGGGCCGGGCAAGACCGGUGCCAGCCGCCGCGGUAACACCGGCGGCCCGAGUGGUGAUCGUGAUUAUUGGGUCUAAAGGGUCCGUAGCCGGUUUGGUCAGUCCUCCGGGAAAUCUGACGGCUCAACCGUUAGGCUUUCGGGGGAUACUGCCAGGCUUGGAACCGGGAGAGGUAAGAGGUACUACAGGGGUAGGAGUGAAAUCUUGUAAUCCCUGUGAGACCACCUGUGGCGAAGGCGUCUUACCAGAACGGGUUCGACGGUGAGGGACGAAAGCUGGGGGCACGAACCGGAUUAGAUACCCGGGUAGUCCCAGCCGUAAACGAUGCUCGCUAGGUGUCAGGCAUGGCGCGACCGUGUCUGGUGCCGCAGGGAAGCCGUGAAGCGAGCCAC